ACUGCUCAGUAACACGUGGACAACCUGCCCAAAGGUCCGGGAUAACCCCGGGAAACUGGGGAUAAUACCGGAUAAAUCACAAGUACUGGAAGGUUUUGUGGUUGAAACUUCCGGGGCCUUUGGAUGGGUCUGCGGCUGAUUAGGUUGUUGCCGGUGUAACGUACCGUCAAGCCUGUAAUCAGUACGGGUUGUGGGAGCAAGAGCCCGGAGAUGGAUUCUGAGACACGAAUCCAGGCCCUACGGGGCGCAGCAGGCGCGAAAACUCUACAAUGCAGGCAACUGCGAUAGGGGAACAUCGAGUGAAACUCAUCUUGGGUGUCUGUCCUCCCGUCUAAAAAACGGGAGUUAGCAAGGGCCGGGCAAGACCGGUGCCAGCCGCCGCGGUAAUACCGGCGGCUCGAGUGGUGGCCGAUAUUAUUGAGUCUAAAGGGUCCGUAGCCGGCUUUGCAAUCUUUUGGGAAAUCCAGCGGCUUAACCGUUGGUCGUCCGGGAGAUACUACAUUGCUUGGGACUGGGAGAGGUAGGAGGUACUCAGGGGGUAGGAGUGAAAUCCUGUAAUCCUUUGGGGACCACCGGUGGCGAAGGCGUCCUACCAGAACAGGUCCGACGGUGAGGGACGAAAGCUAGGGGCACGAACCGGAUUAGAUACCCGGGUAGUCCUAGCCGUAAACGAUGCUCGCUAGGUGUCACAACAAUCGUGAAUUGUUGUGGUGCCGUAGGGAAGCCGUGAAGCGAGCCACUUGGGAAGUACGACCGCAAGGUUGAAACUUAAAGGAAUUGGCGGGGGAGCAC
rnacentral:rRNA from 1 species